rnacentral:rRNA from 1 species
AUUGAACGCUGGCGGCAUGCCUUGCACAUGCAAGUCGAACGGCAGCACGGGAGCAAUCCUGGUGGCGAGUGGCGAACGGGUGAGUAAAGUAUCGGAACGUGCCCAGUCGUGGGGGAUAACGUAGCGAAAGUUACGCUAAUACCGCAUACGAUCUAUGGAUGAAAGCGGGGGAUCGCAAGACCUCGCGCGAUUGGAGCGGCCGAUAUCAGAUUAGGUAGUUGGUGGGGUAAAGGCUCACCAAGCCGACGAUCUGUAGCUGGUCUGAGAGGACGACCAGCCACACUGGGACUGAGACACGGCCCAGACUCCUACGGGAGGCAGCAGUGGGGAAUUUUGGACAAUGGGCGAAAGCCUGAUCCAGCCAUGCCGCGUGCAGGAUGAAGGCCUUCGGGUUGUAAACUGCUUUUGUACGGAACGAGAAGGUUUGGCCUAAUAAGCUGAGCUCAUGACGGUACCGUAAGAAUAAGCACCGGCUAACUACGUGCCAGCAGCCGCCGUAA